rnacentral:rRNA from 1 species
GAUGAACGCUGGCGGCGUGCUUAACACAUGCAAGUCGAACGAUGAAGCCCAGCUUGCUGGGUGGAUUAGUGGCGAACGGGUGAGUAACACGUGAGUAACCUGCCCUUAACUCUGGGAUAAGCCUGGGAAACUGGGUCUAAUACCGGAUAGGAGCGUCCACCGCAUGGUGGGUGUUGGAAAGAUUUAUCGGUUUUGGAUGGACUCGCGGCCUAUCAGCUUGUUGGUGAGGUAAUGGCUCACCAAGGCGACGACGGGUAGCCGGCCUGAGAGGGUGACCGGCCACACUGGGACUGCGAGACGGCCCAGACUCCUACGGGAGGCAGCAGUGGGGAAUAUUGCACAAUGGGCGAAAGCCUGAUGCAGCGACGCCGCGUGAGGGAUGACGGCCUUCGGGUUGUAAACCUCUUUCAGUAGGGAAGAAGCGAAAGUGACGGUACCUGCAGAAGAAGCACCGGCUAACUACGUG